GCCAGGUGUGGUGGCGCAUGCCUGUAAUCCCAGCUACUCAGGAGGCUGAGGCAGGAGAAUCGCUUGAGCCCGGGAGGCAGAGGUUGCGGUGAGCUGAGAGUGCGCCACUGCACUCCAGCCUGGGCGACAGAGUGAAACUCUGUCUCGG
ensembl:misc_RNA Metazoa_SRP Metazoan signal recognition particle RNA